GCCGGAGUAGCUCAGAUGGUAGAGCAACUGAUUCGUAAUCAGUGGGUCGGGGGUUCAAGUCCUCUCUUCGGCACCA
rnacentral:tRNA from 1 species